rnacentral:tRNA from 1 species
GGCCCUGUCGUCUAACGGUUAGGACAACGGGUUUUCAAUCCGUUAAUCGGAGUCCGACUCUCCGCAGGGUCA